UCAGAAUCCUUCGAAAAUAAAUAAAAAUUGCUUCAAAAUUAAAGAAUUCUUCAACCGUUAUUUAUCAGAGCUGAGCCACCAAUUUAAACCUUUUGAAUUAUAGUGUUUUCUAGCCGACAAUUCAAGGUUUGGACUUAGGUUCGGCUUCCAUCAUCCACCUUAUUUUUGCAGCCAAAAUAAUAAUGAUAAAUAAAUAAAAAGAAAAUUUGUAGCCCUCCAAAAUAUCUAGGUUUUUUGUAACCCCGUUGUUCAUAAUUUUAGUUGGUAAAAUUUUUCUUUACUUGCUAAAAUUCUUCAUAUAUCCAACUCCAGGAAUCCUAUUUCUGUAUAUAUGCGUGUAUAGGAUUUUGGAAUUUGAUUCUGUGACUUUCUUGGUGGAUAAAGCUGUUUUGAUUUUUAAGCGUAUUUUUGUUGUAGCUUCUGGGAUUAUUUCUCUGUUUUUUCAUUAUUAUGGGAUUUGUGAGUUUGGUAAACUUUCCCCCUCUUUUUGUCUCCAUUUUUCAUUAUAACAGGAUUGUUGAAAUUAGGGUUGAAUUUGUGUGUGGAUUUUACCAUAUAUGUUUCACUGUUAUGUUCUAUAAAAAUGCAAAAAGCUGUGAAACAUAUUGAAUAAAGGAGACGGGGGCUAUGUUGUAAUUUAAGAAAUUAAAGGCCCCUGUCUGCAAUUAACUGAUUGUGGUCAUGUUGUAAUUUUUAAAGUGAGGAUCUGUCACGCAAUUUUAAAUAUUGAAGGACCUGAUUUUAAUUUUUUAUUUGGGUUAAAAUGCAAUUUUCAAUAAGGGGUUCUUAAUUUGAACUUUAAAAGUUUUGACCCUAAAAUUUUAAUUUUUGACCCGGUUAAAAAUUUUAUUUAAUAAUUG
rnacentral:lncRNA from 1 species